rnacentral:rRNA from 1 species
UACGUAGGGGGCAAGCGUUGUCCGGAUUUAUUGGGCGUAAAGAGCGUGUAGGCGGCCAUACAGGUCCGUUGUGAAAACUGGAGGCUUAACCUCCAGACGUCGAUGGAAACCGUAUGGCUAGAGUCCGGAAGAGGAGAGUGGAAUUCCUGGUGUAGCGGUGAAAUGCGCAGAUAUCAGGAGGAGCACCGAUGGCGAAGGCAGGUCUCUGGGCCAUAACGUGACGCUGAGAAGCGAAAGCAUGGG